GCGGGAGUAGUUCAGCGGUAGAAUGUCUCCUUCCCAAGGAGAAGGUCGCGGGUUCAAAUCCCGUCUCCCGCUCCA
rnacentral:tRNA from 1 species